UACGAAGGGUGCAAGCGUUACUCGGAAUUACUGGGCGUAAAGCGUGCGUAGGUGGUGAGUUAAGUCUGUCGUGAAAGCCCCGGGCUCAACCUGGGAACAGCGCUUGAGACUGGCACGCUCGAGUUCGGGAGAGGAUGGUGGAAUUCCCAGUGUAGAGGUGAAAUUCGUAGAUAUUGGGAAGAACACCGAUGGCGAAGGCAGCCAUCUGGACCGACACUGACGCUGAGGCGCGAAAGCGUGGGGAGCAAACAGG
rnacentral:rRNA from 1 species